GAUGAACGCUGGCGGCGUGCCUAAUACAUGCAAGUCGAGCGAACGGACGAGAAGCUUGCUUUUCUGAUGUUAGCGGCGGACGGGUGAGUAACACGUGGAUAACCUACCUAUAAGACUGGGAUAACUUCGGGAAACCGGAGCUAAUACCGGAUAAUAUUUUGAACCGCAUGGUUCAAAAGUGAAAGACGGUCUUGCUGUCACUUAUAGAUGGAUCCGCGCUGCAUUAGCUAGUUGGUAAGGUAACGGCUUACCAAGGCAACGAUGCAUAGCCGACCUGAGAGGGUGAGCGGCCACACUGGAACUGAGACACGGUCCAGACUCCUACGGGAGGCAGCAGUAGGGAAUCUUCCGCAAUGGGCGAAAGCCUGACGGAGCAACGCCGCGUGAGUGAUGAAGGUCUUCGGAUCGUAAAACUCUGUUAUUAGGGAAGAACAGAUGUGUAAGUAACUGUGCACAUCUUGACGGUACCUAAUCAGAAAGCCACGGCUAACUACGU
rnacentral:rRNA from 1 species